rnacentral:misc_RNA from 1 species
GCCGAAACAAAGAUAAAAAUAUUGGAGGGGCAAACAAUAACUUAAAAAAAAAUAAUAGGUAAAAUUUUAAGGAGGCAAACAUUUUUUUUUUUAAAUGUACUAAAAUAUAUAUGUAAAAUUUUAUUUUAAAAUUUUUAAGGGGGCAAACAACAAUUUUUCUAAAAAAUGCAGUAAAAUUAAAAGUAAAAUUUUAACUUUAAUAAUUCGGGACCCAAUCUGUGCUGUAGUUCUGCCCCCUGCUACUAUGAUACUUCAACCAUAAUAAUAAUAAUAAUAAUUGCAACAGAGAUAAUGGCAAUGACAACAACAACAAUGUAUGAACUCAUUUAAGCCACUGUAUAAAAAGGCGGAAAAAAUGGAGUAUGAAUCUAUUUGUACCCAUUAUUGCUUGAUAAGCUGAUCACAGAUAAGUAAAAUCUGGAAAUAUUACUGUGAGAUAAUUCAAAAGGCAAAGGGCGUGUUUAGCAUUGCUAUUAGAAGUGCUGCUGAGAAAAUCAUUUUUUCAGAUAUACAACUUAGAGAGUAUUAAAAAAUAAUU